UACGUAGGGUGCAAGCGUUAUUCGGAAUUACUGGGCGUAAAGCGUGCGCAGGCGGUUCGGAAAGAGAGGUGUGAAAUCCCAGGGCUUAACCUUGGAACUGCACUUCUAACUACCGGGCUAGAGUACGUCAGAGGGGGGUAGAAUUCCACGUGUAGCAGUGAAAUGCGUAGAGAUGUGGAGGAAUACCGAUGGCGAAGGCAGCCCCCUGGGAUGAUACUGACGCUCAGGCACGAAAGCGUGGGGAGCAAACAGG
rnacentral:rRNA from 1 species